rnacentral:rRNA from 1 species
AGAGCGAACGCUGGCGGCGUGCUUAACACAUGCAAGUCGAACGCGCAGCAUUCUGUAGCAAUACAGGGUGUGGGCGCGUGGCGAACGGGUGCGUAACACGUGGAUAACCUUCCUUGAGGUGGGAAUAACCCAGUGAAAAUUGGGCUAAUACCGCAUAACAUCGCGAUGGCACAUGCUGAUGCGAUCAAAGGCGCAAGUCGCCACAAGAGGGAUCCGCGGCCGAUUAGCUUGUUGGCGAGGUAAUGGCUCACCAAGGCGACGACGGGUA